rnacentral:rRNA from 1 species
ACGGAGGGUGCGAGCGUUGUUCGGAAUUAUUGGGCGUAAAGCGCGCGUAGGCGGUCUUUUAAGUCUGAUGUGAAAGGCCCGGGCUCAACCUGGGAUUGGCGGUGGAAACUGCAAGACUUGAGUAUGGGAGGGGGUAGUGGAAUUCCAGGUGUAGGGGUGAAAUCUGUAGAUAUUAGGAGGAACACCGGUGGCGAAGGCGGCUUCCUGGACCUAUACUGACGCUGAGGCGCGAAAGCGUGGGGAGCAAACAG